AGGGUGGCGCUGAUCCAGUUCUCGGAGACCUUGUGGUGGAUCUUGGUGGGCAGAUCCUUCCAGAGACCACUCAUUGUCUUCUGCUGGAAUGGUGAAAGAGCAUACACCACCGCCUUCAUUCUCACUGGCUGCUUCCCCAUGUCUCUCCUUCUUCCGAAGGUUUUUUAUUUCCUCCUGAUUGUCUAUAGAAGAUUAAGCCAGAACACACUUUCUCUUGCUUCCCCAAUUCCACAUGAAGAGCUUUGUUUACAUUUGCCAGGCAGCAGCCUUGGCAAUUUGACCAUUUCUGGAUUCUGUU
rnacentral:misc_RNA from 1 species